UCAAAUGGGAGAAACAUUAAAACGAGAACACAACACAUUUAUUUAAAACAUUCCAAUGUGUUAUAAAAUUAUCAUCGAGAAACUAUUAUCUUGCAUCUCUAUCAAUGAAGAAAGUGAACAGUAACAUAAAUCCUGAAUCGUUUGCCGACAUCCGAGAGCCGAUCCGGCUGUGCAAAACCAGGUAAGCCCGUUCGCCACCUGGAGGAGGAGUCUCACGGUGGUACGUUGGCCACACAAACACACACUUUGAGAACUAACUACUCUGAUAAACAACGUACAGUUUCACCUCAGGGCUAGGAUUGAAAACUAUACACCUUUUGUUUUCUUAGUCCGCAAACCCUGUGUUGCGUUUAUCAAUGUGAGUCCUGCAAGGAAAUGCUGACGAUCACUUCGUUCUAGUGCUGAGACCUGUCCACUCUGGAAUUAACCCACAGUUGGAAUGUUUGCAAACCGUACAACUCUGGGUGUUUUGGAAAACUGUCUCCAAUGGAAGGGGGAACGGAAAAUCACAUUUGCAUAGUCAAUCCCACCUAUAUCUUGGAUGCCAACAAAAUGCAGUCCUCCUUACCAGCUGACGUCACAUCCCCUGUAAAAGGAGUCUGAUCCCCGAACGCCACGUACGUGGAUUUAUUUUCAGCUCUCAACCAACCCUGCUAACAAACUACGCAACUCUCCUGAUGGACAGUAGAAUUAACCAUUAGGAGAUGGACUGGUGUAUAAGGCGGGACCUCUUGGGGGAGCCUGACCAAUGGAGGUGAUAUAGAGGCGUGGCCUAUCGGUGCUGGUGCUUGGUUACGUUGCAACAUUUGUCAAACGGGGUCGAGCUGUGGUGGAUUGGAGCUGAAGGUGCUGUUUACGUUCAUAGAGGGUUUGCGAAGACCGUGGCUGUGUAUCUUUCUACGGGUUAGAGGUGCCGAGGGUAAAGGGAACACCACUAAACCUGAUCUUUCAUGUUCAACUUCAUCAUUGAAAAAGAACUUCAUUACCCAGAGUCCUGCCUGAAAGUAGGAGGCACCAGACAUCAGGAUGCAUUGGAAGAGUAUGUCACUGUCCCGCUGUUGGUUGCUGCUCUGUCUCCUUCUUGCUGCUGAAACUGUACCAAUCGAUAAGAUAAAGGUGACCAAAGUAGAAGAACCAGAAGUGCAGGCAACAGUUGAAAGUCCAGUAACUGGGCUGUAU